GGCUUCGUGGCCUAAUGGCUAGGGCGCUAGAUUUCGGUUCAUAAUUGAUUCUCUAGAGAUUGUCGGUUCGAGUCCGGCCGAAGUCG